UGAAAAAGUCACGAGGAAAGUGUCUUGGGCUUUUUUUGCGUGAGGUGCGCUUGUUUUGGAAUUUCAUUCGUUGGAGCUGCGGCGAAAACUCCGCCCCCGUCCAACUGCCGCACUGGAUUGGGUGCUACCGUCGUCUGUCUCCGGGACAUCAGGGGAGGCACGAGUUCGCUCUAGGAGUAAUCAGUUUCGGACUCGUAGUGGAACCAAGCGCUUGGGUCCCCGAUGCUGCACAAAUCACGGCGACCCCCGGUGGAGAUGAAGGCGGACUCCGAUUGGCUCUGAUUUUUAAAAGCCCUUUUCAUUCAGGAGGUUGCCCAUUAUCAACAUGGCUGAGCCGUCGGCCCCAGUACCCUUUGCAAAAAUGGCGUCACUUAGCCGGGUUCGAGCUCUGACGAUGAUUUUCUUAACUGUCAGCGGUUGUUUGGUCACCUCGAUAAGUGGCAAGGAAGGAGGGGUAGAGUCGGACACGGUUAUCAUCGGGCUCCGGUUGGAGGACACGGACGACAUUUCCUUUAUGGAUAGGGGCUACCUACGGGUAAGUGAACGGUCUCGUGUCAAAUUGAGGGUCUACGGGCAAAACAUAAACAACGAGACCUGGUCCAAAAUUGCAUUUACGGAACACGAGCAGAUCCGACCAGCCGGGGACAUCGACAGCUUGUCGGGGGACAACGGGAGCAAAGAGGAUACGUCCGCGCAUCCCUGCGGUAUCAGGACCUCGGAUAUAAUCAUCUUGCCCAACAUCAUUCUAAGUCGCAGAACGUCGGGAGUAGUUGAAAUCGAGGUCAAACCCCUUCGAAAAACCGAGAGGAGUAAAUCUUAUUACCUGUGCAUCGCCACCUCAACACCUGCCCACCACGCCGCCGGCCUGCACGACCCAUGGACCGAAAACACCUGGAUUUACCACGACGGAGAUGACACUAAAGUGAUAGUUGUGGAGGAGAAGAGGUUUCUGCUUCCCUUCUGGCUUCAAGUCAUCUUUAUUUCCAUGUUGCUGUGUCUGUCAGGCAUGUUCAGCGGGUUGAACUUAGGACUGAUGGCACUGGACCCAAUGGAGCUCCAAAUCGUACAGAAUUGUGGCACAGAGAUGGAGAAGAAUUAUGCCAAAAAGAUAGAGCCAGUUAGGAGCCAAGGGAAUUACCUGCUUUGCUCACUUCUCCUAGGCAACGUGCUCGUGAAUACAACUCUAACUAUCUUAUUUGAUGAUAUUGCAGGUUCUGGGCUGAUAGCUGUGGUGAUGUCAACUAUUGGAAUUGUCAUCUUUGGAGAGAUUGUCCCUCAAGCCAUAUGCUCAAGACAUGGCCUUGCCGUUGGAGCCAACACCAUUUUCCUCACCAAGUUUUUCAUGCUGCUCACCUUCCCCGCGUCAUACCCAGUGAGCAAACUUCUAGAUUACCUUUUGGGCCAAGAGAUAGGCACUGUGUACAACCGCGAGAAGCUUUUGGAGAUGCUCCGAGUCACGGAUCCGUACAAUGAUCUGGUCAAAGAGGAGUUGAACAUCAUUCAGGGCGCCUUGGAGCUACGGACUAAGACUGUGGAGGACGUGAUGACCCCGCUAAGAGAUUGUUUUAUGAUUCCAGGUGAUGCUAUCCUCGACUUCAACACCAUGUCUGAAAUCAUGGAGAGCGGCUACACGCGCAUCCCCGUGUUCGAGGGCGAGAGGUCCAACAUUGUGGAUCUAUUGUUCGUGAAGGACCUGGCGUUUGUCGACCCAGAUGAUUCUACGCCGCUGAAAACCAUCACUAAGUUUUACAGCCAUCAGCUGCAUUUUGUGUUCAAUGACACCAGGCUGGAUGCCAUGCUGGAGGAGUUCAAGAAAGGUAAAUCCCACCUGGCCAUAGUUCAGAGGGUGAACAACGAGGGUGAGGGGGACCCCUUCUACGAGGUCCUGGGCAUCGUCACCCUGGAGGACAUCAUCGAGGAAAUCAUCAAGUCAGAGAUCCUGGACGAGACAGACUUGUACACUGACAACAAAACGAAGAAGAAAAUCACCCAUCGUGAGCGGAAGCAGGAUUUCUCAGCCUUCAAGCCCAACGACAGUGAAAUGAAGGUUAAAAUAUCACCUCAGCUUCUGCUGGCAACCCUGCGUUACCUAGCAACAGAGGUGGAGUCGUUCGGGCCGGUGCAGAUGUCAGAGAAGAUCCUGCUGCGUCUGCUCAAACACCCCAACGUGAUCCAGGAGCUGAAGUACGACGAGAAGAACAAGAGAGCACCGGAGCACUACCUCUUCCACAGGAACAAGCCUGUGGACUACUUCAUACUCAUCCUGCAGGGGAAGGUGGAGGUGGAGGCAGGGAAGGAAGGGAUGAAGUUUGAAGCAGGAGCGUUCUCCUCCUAUGGGAUGAUGGCUCUCACCACCUCUCCAGACCCUCUUUCAAUGUGCUUGGAUGGCACGUUGGUUGUUUUUCAGGACACGCUGUACGACGGUAACGUUAUACAAUUAUUUCAUUUUGUGGGCUUUGGUGAUGGAUUUUUCCGUGUGUGUCUCCCCUCUCUGUCGGCCAUCUCUCUUCGCCAGUCCCUCUCUCCCUGUCUCGUACCUUCGUUGUCAGUAGGGCUGAGUCCCUAGCAGGAUCUCCAGGUAUGGUAGCCCUCUCUUUCCUGUCUGCCUGUCUGUCUGUCAACCUGUCUGUCUGUCCAUCCAUCCCCCUAUCCCUCUAUCUCCAUCUCUCCUCACAUCUAAUAUAACUCUUCCCAUUGGGAUGAGUGUACACUUCACCUAAGCCUGCUAUUUCCCGGCAUUAUAACUGCAUGGUGUGUUGUGGACAUAGUAAUGAAUUCUGGUCCUGUUGCUCAUGAGCUUAAAUUCUUUGAGAGUGGAAUUCUCUUGUGCCACAUCGCAAGAAUACUUCGCAUGUUUGUGUAUUAAUAUGCAUUUCCUACUUACGCUGUCCUUACGUUUGCUUUGCAUAUUAAACGUUGUUUUGCAUGGACGUUUAACAAGGCGGGACUUACCUAUUGUUUUGGACUCUGAAGGAUGUCUGUUACUGUGUACUGUGCAUGUGAAGCGUCCAUUCCCCUGUGUGUGUGUGUGUGUGUGUGUGUGUGUGUGUGUGUGUGUGUGUGUGUGUGUGUGUGUGUGUGUGUGUGUGUGUGUGUGUGGUAACCAGUGCCAUAACUCAGCCAGUGAAUAGUGUAGUAGAGGCCCCCAGAGUGAGGCAUAGCCGCCACUAGAGACAGGCUCCACCCCUCUAGCCCCGUAACCCUCUGACUCCAUAAACAAGGCUAUGAGUUACAGCCCCCCGCAGGGCCGCUGACUGCAGCACACACACACACACACACACACACACACACACACACACACACACACACACACACACACACACACACACACACACACACACACACACACACACACACACACAGCUCAAGCCUCUGAUCCACCCCAUAUUUACUAAAUUCCCUCCUCCUUCUUUUCCCCCUUGUCCCACUCCACCCUCUUCCACUCCAUCCCUCCAUCCCCUACCGUCCCCCGUCGGCCCCGAGAAAGUAGAGUACUAAUCUCCCAGGGUUCACAUGCCUGGGCCUUGGCCUACUGCGUGGGACCACACUGCUUUAUGCAGACAUCCAAACCCAGGAUUACAUACAUUCCAGCCAGAGUAAGAACAAGUCCCCCCCGCGGCCGUUUGGCCUGAACCACUCAGACUCCCUGAACCGGAGUGACCGCAUCGAUGCCAUCACACCCACGCUGGGGAGCAGUAACAACCAGCUGAAUGCCUUCCUACAGAUAUACAUGCCAGACUACUCUGUCAGGGCUGUGUCUGACCUGCAGUACAUCAAG